UGGAAUUUGCGCCAGUGGAAACCAUAAAUUUCAUACACAAUAGAAAGAUAUGAUAGAUCGAUCUUUUUUUUAGAUAGUGAAUGGAGUUCUUCUUCUUCUAUUCUAUCCGAUUCACAGGUACUGAUCAUUGAUACUUAAAAAAGGGUUUCUUUCUUUUGGUUUGUCUCAGCCCAUGAUUGAAACGAGUCGCACAUACACCCUUGUACAUGUUCCUC
rnacentral:lncRNA from 1 species